rnacentral:rRNA from 1 species
CACACUGGAACUGAGACACGGUCCAGACUCCUACGGGAGGCAGCAGUGAGGAAUAUUGCACAAUGGAGGAAACUCUGAUGCAGCAACGCCGCGUGGAGGAUGACGCAUUUCGGUGUGUAAACUCCUUUUAUUAGGGAAGAUAAUGACGGUACCUAAUGAAUAAGCACCGGCUAACUCCGUGCCAGCAGCCGCGGUAAUACGGAGGGUGCAAGCGUUACUCGGAAUCACUGGCGUAAAGGGUGCGUAGGCUGGCUUUUAAGUCAGAUGUGAAAUCCAAUGGCUCAACCAUUGAACUGCAUUUGAAACUGAAAGCCUAGAGUUCAGAAGGGGCAGAUGGAAUUAGUGGUGUAGGGGUAAAACCCGUAGAUAU